rnacentral:misc_RNA from 1 species
AAGGAGUCUAACAUAUCUGCGAGUAUUUGGGUGUCAAACCCGAGGGCGCAAUGAAAGAGAACGUAGGAGCCACGCGCAAGCUGCAGCUUCGACCGACCUGGGUCUCUAGUUAUGGAUUUGAGUAAGAGCAUAUAUGUUGGGACCCGAAAGAUGGUGAACUAUGCCUGAAUAGGGCGAAGCCAGAGGAAACUCUGGUGGAGGCUCGUAGCGAUUCUGACGUGCAAAUCGAUCGUCAAAGUUGGGUAUAGGGGCGAAAGACUAAUCGAACCAUCUAGUAGCUGGUUCCUGC